CCUACGGGCGGCAGCAGUGAGGAAUAUUGGUCAAUGGUCGGGAGACUGAACCAGCCAAGCCGCGUGAGGGAUGAAGGUACAGAGUAUCGUAAACCUCUUUUGUCAGGGAACAAAGGCGGGGACGUGUCCCCGGAUGAGUGUACCUGAAGAAAAAGCAUCGGCUAACUCCGUGCCAGCAGCCGCGGUAAUCCGGAGGAUGCGAGCGUUAUCCGGAUUUAUUGGGGUUAAAGGGUGCGCAGGCGGUCUGUUAAGUCAGCGGUCAAAGCCCGGGGCUCAACCCCGGCCCGCCGUUGAAACUGGCAGUCGCGAGUUGGAGAGAAGGAUGCGGAAUGCGCGGUGUAGCGGUGAAAUGCAGAGAUAUCGCGCAGAACUCCGAUUGCGAAGGCAGCAUGCCGGCUCCACACUGACGCUGAGGCACGAAAGCGUGGGUAUCGAACAGGAUUAGAUACCCUGGUAGUC
rnacentral:rRNA from 1 species